CCUACGGGAGGCAGCAGUAGGGAAUCUUCCGCAAUGGACGAAAGUCUGACGGAGCAACGCCGCGUGAGUGAAGAAGGUUUUCGGAUCGUAAAACUCUGUUGUGAGGGAAGAACAAGUACCAAGUAACUACUGGUACCUUGACGGUACCUCACCAGAAAGCCACGGCUAACUACGUGCCAGCAGCCGCGGUAAUACGUAGGUGGCAAGCGUUGUCCGGAAUUAUUGGGCGUAAAGCGCGCGCAGGCGGUCCUUUAAGUCUGAUGUGAAAGCCCACGGCUCAACCGUGGAGGGUCAUUGGAAACUGGGGGACUUGAGUGCAGAAGAGGAAAGUGGAAUUCCACGUGUAGCGGUGAAAUGCGUAGAGAUGUGGAGGAACACCAGUGGCGAAGGCGACUUUCUGGUCUGUAACUGACGCUGAGGCGCGAAAGCGUGGGGAGCAAACAGGAUUAGAUACCCUUGUAGUC
rnacentral:rRNA from 1 species